rnacentral:rRNA from 1 species
GAUGAACGCUGGCGGCGUGCCUAAUACAUGCAAGUCGAGCGAACAGACGAGGAGCUUGCUCCUUCGACGUUAGCGGCGGACGGGUGAGUAACACGUAGGUAACCUACCUAUAAGACUGGGUUAACUUCGGGAAACCGGAGCUAAUACCGGAUAAUAUUUCGAACCGCAUGGUUCGAUAGUGAAAGAUGGCUUUGCUAUCACUUAUAGAUGGACCUGCGCCGUAUUAGCUAGUUGGUAAGGUAACGGCUUACCAAGGCAACGAUACGUAGCCGACCUGAGAGGGUGAUCGGCCACACUGGAACUGAGACACGGUCCAGACUCCUACGGGAGGCAGCAGUAGGGAAUCUUCCGCAAUGGGCGAAAGCCUGACGGAGCAACGCCGCGUGAGUGAUGAAGGUCUUCGGAUCGUAAAACUCUGUUAUUAGGGAAGAACAAACGUGUAAGUAACUGUGCACGUCUUGACGGUACCUAAUCAGAAAGCCACGGCUAACUACGUG